rnacentral:sRNA from 1 species
AGAAGAGCCAAAACAGGAACCGAGGUGGCAAAUCACUGUGCGAGGGCGAGUGGACCUCCCUCUUUGCCUCCUCCCUGUUCCAGGAGCUGGUCCCCUGGGCUCUGCGCUGUUGUUUUCAGCGCUCCGAAAGCCGGCGCUUCAGAUCCAGAUGAAAUCCCCACAGUGGUGGGGAUCUUCAGUGCAUUUGGCCUGGUCUUCACAGUCUCUCUCUUUGCAUGGAUCUGCUGUCAGAGAAAAUCAUCCAAGUCUAACAAGACUCCUCCAUACAAGUUUGUGCAUGUGCUUAAGGGAGUUGAUAUUUACCCUGAAAACCUAAAUAGCAAAAAGAAGUUUGGAGCAGAUGAUAAAAAUGAAGUAAAGAAUAAGCCAGCUGUGCCAAAGAAUUCAUUGCAUCUGGAUCUUGAAAAGAGAGAUCUCAAUGGCAAUUUUCCCAAAACCAACCUCAAACCUGGCAGUCCUUCUGAUCUGGAGAAUGCAACCCCGAAGCUCUUUUUAGAAGGGGAAAAAGAG